UAGGGAAUUUUCGUCAAUGGGCGCAAGCCUGAACGAGCGAUGCCGCGUGAGUGAAGAAGGCCUCGGGUCGUAAAGCUCUGUUGCGGGGGGAAAAAAGGGAC
rnacentral:rRNA from 1 species